rnacentral:rRNA from 1 species
AAUUGGAGGGCAAGUCUGGUGCCAGCAGCCGCGGUAAUUCCAGCUCCAAUAGCGUAUAUUAAAGUUGUUGCAGUUAAAAAGCUCGUAGUUGAAUUUCGGGAUUGACACAUCGGUCGUGCCUUAAGGGGUAUGAACUGGUGUAGUCAAUUUCUCACCUUCUGGAGAACCGCGAUGCCCUUAAUUGGGUGUCACGGGGAACCAGGACCUUUACUUUGAAAAAAUUAGAGUGUUUAAAGCAGGCAUUUUGCUUGAAUACAUUAGCAUGGAAUAAUAAAAUAGGACGGCAUGAUUCUAUUUUGUUGGUUUCUAGGAUCACCGUAAUGAUUAAUAGGGAUAGUUGGGGGCAUUAGUAUUCAAUUGUCAGAGGUGAAAUUCUUGGAUCUAUUGAAGACUAACUACUGCGAAAGCAUUUGCCAAGGAUGUUUUCAUUAAUCAAGAACGAAAGUUAGGGGAUCGAAGACGAUCAGAUACCGUCGUAGUCUUAACCAUAAACUAUGCCGACUAGGAAUCAGACGAUGUUAAUUUUUUAAUGACUCGUUUGGCACCUUACGGGAAACCAAAGUGU